rnacentral:rRNA from 1 species
AGAGUUUGAUUAUGGCUCAGGAUGAACGCUGGCGGCAGGCUUAAUACAUGCAAGUCGAACGGUAAGGUCCGAAGUGGCAACACGGAGGAUACACGAGUGGCGCACGGGUGCGUAACGCGUAUGCAACCUGCCCCCGACCGGGACAAAACAGCUGGAAACGGCUGCUAAUAUCCCAUGGUCAUGCGGAAGGGCAUCCUUCUUCAUGUAAAGAUUCAUUGGUCGGGGAUGGGCAUGCGUAUUAUUAGGUAGUUGGCGGGGUAACGGCCCACCAAGCCGACGAUGAUUAGGGGUCCUGAGAGGGUUAACCCCCACACUGGAACUGAGACACGGUCCAGACUCCUACGGGAGGCAGCAGUAGGGAAUAUUGGGCAAUGGGAGCAAUCCUGACCCAGCCAUGCCGCGUGAAGGAAGACGGCCCUAUGGGUUGUAAACUUCUUUUGCCGCAGAGUAAACCCGGUCACGAGUGGUCGGUUGAGAGUAUGCGGCGAAUAAGUAUCGGCUAACUCCGUGCCAGCAGCCGC